AACGAACGCUGGCGGCGUGGAUUAGGCAUGCAAGUCGAGCGAUCUCGCAAGAGAUAGCGGCAAAAGGGUGAGUAACACGUAAGUAAUCUUCCUUUAAGGCGGGGAUAGCACCGUGAAAACGGUGGUAAUACCCGAUAACAUAAAAGACCCGCAUGGGUUUUUUAUUAAAGACGGGGACCGUAAGGCCUGUCACUUAGAGAUGAGCUUGCGUACCAUCAGCUAGUUGGUAGGGUAACGGCCUACCAAGGCUAAGACGGUUAGCUGGUCUGAGAGGAUGGUCAGCCACACUGGGACUGAGACACUGCCCAGACUCCUACGGGUGGCAG
rnacentral:rRNA from 1 species